rnacentral:rRNA from 1 species
AGUGAACGCUGGCGGUAGGCCUAACACAUGCAAGUCGAACGGCAGCACAGUAAGAGCUUGCUCUUACGGGUGGAGAGUGGCGGACGGGUGAGGAAUACAUCGGAAUCUACUUUUUCGUGGGGGAUAACGUAGGGAAACUUACGCUAAUACCGCAUACGACCUACGGGUGAAAGCAGGGGAUCUUCGGACCUUGCGCGAUUGAAUGAGCCGAUGUCGGAUUAGCUAGUUGGCGGGGUAAAGGCCCACCAAGGCGACGAUCCGUAGCUGGUCUGAGAGGAAGAUCAGCCAGCUUGGCACUGAGGCACGGCCCAGACUCCUACGGGAGGCAGCAGUGGGGAAUAUUGGACAAUGGGCGCAAGCCUGAUCCAGGCAUACCGCGUGGGUGAAGAAGCCCUUCGGGUUGUAAAGCCCUUUUGUUGGGAAAGAAAAGCAGCAGGUUAAUACCCCGCUGUUCUGACGGUACCCAAAGAAUAAGCACCGGCUAACUUCGUG